UACGUAGGGGGCGAGCGUUAUCCGGAAUUACUGGGUGUAAAGGGAGCGUAGACGGUAAUGCAAGUCUGGAGUGAAAGGCGGGGGCCCAACCCCCGGACUGCUCUGGAAACUGUGUAACUGGAGUGCAGGAGAGGCAGGCGGAAUUCCUAGUGUAGCGGUGAAAUGCGUAGAUAUUAGGAGGAACACCAGUGGCGAAGGCGGCCUGCUGGGCUUUAACUGACGCUGAGGCUCGAAAGCGUGGGUAGCAAACAGG
rnacentral:rRNA from 1 species